AACGUAGGGGACGAGCGUUAUCCGGAUUUACUGGGCGUAAAGCGUGCGCAGGCGGUUUUGUAAGCCAGAUGUGAAAUCCCCGGGCUCAACCUGGGAAUGGCAUUUGGGACUGCAAGGCUUGAGUGCGGCAGAGGAGACUGGAAUUCCUGGUGUAGCAGUGAAAUGCGUAGAUAUCAGGAGGAAUACCGAUGGCGAAGGCAGGUCUCUGGGCUGACACUGACGCUCAUGCACGAAAGCGUGGGGAGCAAACAGG
rnacentral:rRNA from 1 species